UAGCCAUGCAUGUCUAAGUAUAAAUUCUUGUACGAUGAAACUGCAGACGGCUCAUUACAACAGUGAUAAACUGCUAGACUUUCGGGUUUUUAACCUUUUGGAUAACCGCAGUAAAUCGGGGCUAAUACAUAGAAGCGAUGGGUGACUGGCAACGGAAGCUCAGCGAUUAUUAGCAUUACUACCAAUACCUUCGGGUCUUGUGGUGAAACCGAAUAAUAUUGCAGAUCGAGGAUUUAUCUUCGACAAGUCUACUGUGUCACUGCCCUAUCAACUUUCGAUGGUACGGUAUUGGCCUACCAUGGUUGUAACGGGUAACGGGGAAUUAGGGUUCGAUUCCGGAGAGGGAGCCUGAGAAAUGGCUACCACUUCUACGGAAGGCAGCAGGCGCGCAAAUUACUCAAUCCCAAUACGGGGAAGUAGUGACAAUAAAUAUCAAUACCUAUCCUUUUUGGAGGGCAAUUGAAAUGAACACAAAUUAAAACUCUUAAUUAACACAAUUGGAGGGCAAGUCUGGUGCCAGCAGCCGCGGUAAUUCCAGCUCCAAUAGCAUAUACUAAAGUUGUUGCAGUUAAAAAGCUCGUAGUUGAAGUUAAAGUUAUAUUGGGCUAAAGUUUUUUACCACUAUGUGGCUAAAAUAACUCCAAUAUUUCUUUUUUUAAUAGCUCAGUUUCUAGGUCUUUGACUCUAGUUAUUUGGGCAUUUCACUGUGAGAAAAUUGUGGUGUUUAAAGCAGGCGUCUCGUCUGAUCUUUUGCAGCAUGGUAUGAUGGAACAUGACAUUUUACG
rnacentral:rRNA from 1 species